UACAGAGGUCUCAAGCGUUGUUCGGAUUCAUUGGGCGUAAAGGGUGCGUAGGUGGCGCCGUAAGUCGGGUGUGAAAUUUCGGAGCUUAACUCCGAAACUGCAUUCGAUACUGCGGUGCUUGAGGACUGGAGAGGAGACUGGAAUUCAUGGUGUAGCAGUGAAAUGCGUAGAGAUCAUGAGGAAGACCAGUGGCGAAGGCGGGUCUCUGGGACAGUUCCUGACACUGAGGCACGAAGGCCAGGGGAGCAAACGGG
rnacentral:rRNA from 1 species